AUGCAUGUCUAAGCAUGAGCUGAAUUAUAGUGAAACCGCGAAUAGCUCAUUACAAUAGCUGUUGUUUCUUGGAUCUCCAAUUUACUUGGAUAACUGUGGUAAUUCUAGAGCUAAUACAUGCGACUAAGCGCCGAUCUCACGUGACGCGUGCAUUUAUUAGAUCAAAACCAUCCGGCCUCGGCCGUUCUUUGGUGACUCUGAAUAACUCAGCUGAUCACACGGUCUAGUACCGGUGACAUAUCUUUCAAGUGUCUACCUUAUCAACUUUCGAUGGUAGGUUAUGUGCCUACCAUGGUUGUAACGGGUAACGGAGAAUCAGGGUUUGACUCCGGAGAGGGAGCCUGAGAAACGGCUACCACUUCUAAGGAAGGCAGCAGGCGCGCAAAUUACCCAUUCUCGGCAUGAGGAGGUAGUGACGAGAAAUAGCAAGACGAUGCCCAUUGGGUGUCGUCAUUGCAAUGAGAACAAUCUAAAUCUUUUAACGAGGAUCUAGUCGAGGGCAAGUCUGGUGCCAGCAGCCGCGGUAAUUCCAGCUCGGCGGGUUUAUACCAAUGCUGUUGCGGUUAAAAAGCUCGUAGUUGGAUCUGCGCCCUUAGCCCGCGGUGUGGCCUUAACGGUCGCUACUGUGUGGCGGGGCACUUUGUGCUAGUUUGUCGUCGUUGGCCUUCAUCGGCUGAUGGCGGCGGCUAGCGAGUUUACUUUGAACAAAUCAGAGUGCUCAAUACAGGCGUUUCGCUUGUAUGAUUUUGCAUGGAAUAAUAGAAUAGGACUUUGGUUCUAUUUUGUUGGUUUUCGGAACACAAAGUAAUGAUUAAGAGGGACAGACGGGGCAUUCGUACUGCGACGUUAGAGGUGAAAUUCUUGGAUCGUCGCAAGACGGACUACUGCGAAGGCAUUUGUCAAGAAUGUUUUCAUUAAUCAAGAACGAAAGUUAUGGGUUCGAAGGCGAUCAGAUACCGCCCUAGUCAUAACCGUAAACGAUACUGACUAGCCGUUUGGACGCGAUUUCAUUGGUCCGUUCAUACGGCUUCCCGGAAACGAAAGUCUUCGAGUUCCGGGGGAAGUAUAGCUGCAAAGCCGAAACUUAAAGGAAUUGACGGAAGGGCACCACCAGGGGUGGAGCCUGCGGCUUAAUUUGACUCAACACGGGGAAACUCACCCGGCCCGGACACCGUAAGGAUUGACAGAUUGAUAGCUCUUUCAUGAUUUGGUGGAUGGUGGUGCAUGGCCGUUCUUAGUUGGUGGAGUGAUUUGUCUGGUUUAUUCCGAUAACGAACGAGACUCUAGCCUACUAAAUAGUACUCGGAUCUAGUCAGUCCGAUUGCUACUUCUUAGAGGGACAAGCAGUGCUCAGCUGCAUGAGAAAGAGCAAUAACACUGUGAUGCCCUUAGAUGUCCGGAGCUGCACGCGCGCUACACUGAAGGGAACAGCGUGUUUGCUUGCCUGGCUCGUAAGAGCUGGGUAAUCGGUUGAAACUCCUUCGUGAUUGGGAUAGGGACUUGUAAUUAUUUCCCUUGAACGAGGAAUCCCUAGUAAGUGCAGGUCAUCAGCUUGCGCUGAUUACGUCCCUGCCCUUUGUACACACCGCCCGUCGCUGCCCGGAACUGAGCCGUUUCGAGAAAGCCGGGGACUGACGACUUGAGGCGCUCGAAGCGCUUCCUGCAAA
rnacentral:rRNA from 1 species